AGUGAACGCUGGCGGUAGGCCUAACACAUGCAAGUCGAACGGCAGCACAGUACUAGCUUGCUCUUACGGGUGGCGAGUGGCGGACGGGUGAGGAAUACAUCGGACUCUACUUUUUCGUGGGGGAUAACGUAGGUAAACUUACGCUAAUACCGCAUACGACCUACGGUUGAAAGCAGGGGAUCUUCUGACCUUGCGCGUGUGAAUGGACCGGUGUCGUAUUAGCUUGUUGGCGGGUUAAAGGCCCACCAAGGCGCCGAUGGGUAGCUGGCCUGAGAGGGUGACAGGACACAUUGGGACUGAGAUAAGGCCCAGACUCAUACGGGAGGCAGCAGUGGGGAAUAUUGCAAAAUGGGCGGAAGCAGGAUGCAGCAACGCCGCGUGCGGGAUGACGGCCUUAGGGUUGUAAACCGCUUUCGCCUGUGACGAAGCGUGAGUGACGGUAAUGGGUAAAGAAGCACCGGCUAACUACGUG
rnacentral:rRNA from 1 species